rnacentral:rRNA from 1 species
CAUGCUCCCGGCCGCCAUGGCGGCCGCGGGAAUUCGAUUAGAGUUUGAUCAUGGCUCAGGACGAACGCUGGCGGCGCGCCUAAAACAUGCAAGUCGAACGAGAAGCCCGGGCUUGCCCGGGUGGACAGUGGCGAACGGGUGAGUAACACGUGAGGAACCUGCCCCGAAGACCGGGACAACAUCGGGAAACCGUUGCUAAUACCGGAUGCCCUCGAAGAAUCGCAUGGUUCAUCGAGGAAAUGGAUUCCGCUUCGGGAUGGCCUCGCGGCCUAUCAGCUUGUUGGUGAGGUAACGGCUCACCAAGGCUUCGACGGGUAGCUGGUCUGAGAGGAUGUCCAGCCACACUGGGACUGAGACACGGCCCAGACUCCUACGGGAGGCAGCAGUUAGGAAUCUUGCGCAAUGGACGAAAGUCUGACGCAGCGACGCCGCGUGCGGGAUGACGGCCCUCGGGUUGUAAACCGCUUUCAGCAGGGACGAAAUUGACGGUACCUGCAGAAGAAGCCCCGGCUAACUUCGUGCCAGCAGCCGCGGUAAUACGAAUCACUAGUGAAUUCGCGGCCGCCUGCAGGUCGACCAUAUGGGAGAGCUCCCA